rnacentral:rRNA from 1 species
GACGAACGCUGGCGGCGUGCUUAACACAUGCAAGUCGAACGGAAAGGCCCUGCUUGCAGGGUACUCGAGUGGCGAACGGGUGAGUAACACGUGGGUGAUCUGCCCUGCACUUCGGGAUAAGCCUGGGAAACUGGGUCUAAUACCGGAUAGGAGCCAUUUCUAGUGUGAUGGUUGGAAAGUUUUUUCGGUGUAGGAUGAGCUCGCGGCCUAUCAGCUUGUUGGUGGGGUAAUGGCCUACCAAGGCGGCGACGGGUAGCCGGCCUGAGAGGGUGGACGGCCACAUUGGGACUGAGAUACGGCCCAGACGCCUACGGGAGGCAGCAGUGGGGAAUAUUGCACAAUGGGCGCAAGCCUGAUGCAGCGACGCCGCGUGGGGGAUGACGUGCUUCGGGUUGAAAACUCCUUUCGCUAGGGACGAAGCUUUUUGUGACGGUACCUAGAUAAGAAGCACCGGCUAACUACGUG